GAUGAACGCUGGCGGCGUGCCUAAUACAUGCAAGUCGAGCGAACAGACGAGGAGCUUGCUCCUCUGACGUUAGCGGCGGACGGGUGAGUAACACGUGGAUAACCUACCUAUAAGACUGGGAUAACUUCGGGAAACCGGAGCUAAUACCGGAUAAUAUAUUGAACCGCAUGGUUCAAUAGUGAAAGACGGUUUUGCUGUCACUUAUAGAUGGAUCCGCGCCGCAUUAGCUAGUUGGUAAGGUAACGGCUUACCAAGGCAACGAUGCGUAGCCGACCUGAGAGGGUGAGCGGCCCCACUGGAACUGAGACACGGUCCAGACUCCUACGGGAGGCAGCAGUAGGGAAUCUUCCGCAAUGGGCGAAAGCCUGACGGAGCAACGCCGCGUGAGUGAUGAAGGUCUUCGGAUCGUAAAACUCUGUUAUUAGGGAAGAACAAAUGUGUAAGUAACUAUGCACGUCUUGACGGUACCUAAUCAGAAAGCCACGGCUAACUACGUG
rnacentral:rRNA from 1 species